UUCUCUUCCCCAUUUGAAUUUCAGAGCCCCAUUCAAAUUUGCCCUGUGAAAUACCUCUUCCCUCGCCUAGGUCGCGUCACCUUCCUCUACCCAGCACCACCCGGCAACGCCGUCUCUUUGUCCAGCGACACCGAGCGAUACUCCUCCGUCUGCCCAGCACUGCCACUCCCCGAGAGAUCAUUGAACGGAGCAAACCAAAUUUAAAUCCCAUGAAGACACCCCUCCUCCCUCGCCAAGCAACCUGUGUCGCAGCGUUUGACCUCUGCCCAGUGCUACCCCUCGAAGCUCAUCCAUUUGCCUAGCAUAGCCCCUCCCCCGAGCUCAUUUAACGCAAACUAGCGACAUUGCUCUGGUGGAUCUCUCUUUCGCCGCCAUCCCUUGGAGGGCAUCGUAGGAUAGAUGCAUGGUGUAGAUGGUGGAGUUGCAUCCAAAGGGUUCUCAAAGGACCCACUGAAGAUGUUUCUAGGGAUUUUGACUUUUGGUGAUCAAAAGUGAAGAAGCACGAGGCUAGUUCAAAAGUGAAAAUGGGUAGCUGCUGUGCUUAGAUUAUAUUCCCAGAGUUCAAGUACAAUAGGAACUAAUGUUUCACUCUUUUGGCAAAUGUUUGUGUAUAGCAUCAGCAUAGACAUGUCUGGCUCAUUCUAAUUUGUAAAGAUUCACUUAUGCUAGUCAAACUAAUUUGCUGUGAUAAUUAGUAAUGUUGCCUGGUUUAGCACAUGAACGUGCUCUGUUUUAGAUUCUGGAAAACCAAGUCCUUGAACUCGGAUAGGUCAUGAAUAUAAUGGCAAUUUGCAGGUGUUCAGACUUA